rnacentral:rRNA from 1 species
AUUGAACGCUGGCGGCAGGCCUAACACAUGCAAGUCGAGCGGAUGAAGGGAGCUUGCUCCUGGAUUCAGCGGCGGACGGGGGAGUAAUGCCUAGGAAUCUGCCUGGUAGUGGGGGAUAACGUCCGGAAACGGGCGCUAAUACCGCAUGCGUCCUGAGGGAGAAAGUGGGGGAUCUUCGGACCUCACGCUAGCAGAGGAGCCUAGGUCGGAUUAGCUAGUUGGUGGGGUAAAGGCCUUCCAAGCCGACGAUCCGUCACUGGUCUGAGAGGAUGAUAAGUCACCCUGGAACUGAGACACGGUCAAUGCGACUAAGGGAGGGAGCAGUGGGGAAUAGUAGACAGCGGGCGAGAGUCUGAUCCAGUGAGCGGGAGUGUGAGACGAAGGCCUUGGGAGCGUGAAGACGGCUAAGUUGUGAGGAAGCGCAGUAGGCUGAGACGUUGCGGGAUUGACGGUAAUGAGAGAAGAAGCACCGGCUAACUACGUG